CUAACACAUGCAAGUCGAGCGGUAACAGGUGUAGCAAUACAUGCUGACGAGCGGCGAACGGGUGAGUAAUGCUUCGGAAUCUACCCUCUAGUGGGGAACAACCAGCCGAAAGGUUGGCUAAUACCGCAUACGUCCUACGGGAGAAAGCAGGGGAUCGUAAGACCUUGCGCUGAUGGAUGAGCCGAAGUCGGAUUAGCUAGUUGGUGGGGUAACGGCUCACCAAGGCGACGAUCCGUAGCUGGUCUGAGAGGACGACCAGCCACACUGGAACUGAGACACGGUCCAGACUCCUACGGGAGGCAGCAGUGGGGAAUAUUGCGCAAUGGGGGAAACCCUGACGCAGCGACGCCGCGUGCGGGAUGAAGGCCUUCGGGUUGUAAACCGCUUUCACCAGGGACGAAGCGAGAGUGACGGUACCUGGGGAAGAAGCGCCGGCUAACUACGUGCCAGCAGCCGCGGUAAU
rnacentral:rRNA from 1 species